rnacentral:lncRNA from 1 species
CUCUUCUGCAGUGUGGUAUGUUUUGCAUUUUUUACUUAAGAUGAAGACUAACCAGUAUAAUAUACCUAUGUGAGCAAAUGAACAAUGAAUUAUGUAGUUGAGGAGCAUAGUUACACUAACACCUUAGGAAACAUUUACUGUGUGCCGGGCCCUUUACCUCCAUAUUCUCAGGGAAUCUAUACCGCAACUGGAUAACGUAGGUACUACUCUAAACUAUGUAAUAAUAAUCAAGGAAACUGAGGCUUGAAUAUGUUUAUUGUUUGAAAUAUGCAACUAGAAAAUACCCUGUCAAGAUUUGAACUCCAAUCCUUUUGAUUUCUAGAGAUUUCUUCAAAAACACUUGUUUCGGGGAUCCCUGGGUGGCUCAGAAGUUUAGCGCCUGCCUUUGGCCCAGGGCGUGAUCCUAGAGUCCUGGGAUCGAGUCCCACAUUGGGCUCCCAGCAUGGAGCCUGCUUCUCCCUCCUCCUGUGUCUCUGCCUCUCUCUCUCUCUAUGUCUAUCAUGAAUAAAUAUAUAAAUAAAUCUUUAAAAAAAAACCACUUGUUUCUCAGUAAAAAUACCAAGAUAAAUGCAGGUCAAGAAAUGAAUACCAUACCCCAAAUUGGUUAGGAUUGAAAAAAGAUAUCUGCAAUGUAAUGAAGGAAAUGAAUUCUUAAUUAGGUUAAAGUAAAUGUUAAGGUUCAAAGGACAGAUGUUUCCUGUAGAUUUCUGUACAACAGAGAUUUGUUUGUAUGAAAGUGUAUAGCUCAAUUCUGUAGGAAAGCUUAAAAUAUUAGAAGAAAGGAAAAAUAAUGGGGAUUUAAAGACUGUUAUUAUUUGUACAUUUAUUCCUAUAUGGAAAUGGAUUCUAAUCACACAAUUUUAAGUUAAUGGGUUGUUCAUUUUUUCAUUCUCAUGGUUAAAUAUAGCCCAGCAUUUAUAAAUAAAUUAGUGCUUUACUUAUAUAGGAUACUGCUAUUUCAGGAUGUUUUCAGAUGUUCUUUUCUCUCUAUUUUCCUUCCUGCCUGUUUGCUGUUGUCUCUUUACCCCUCUUCCCUCCAUGGAAGUUUGUGGCAGUGUUCUCAGUCAACUUGUAGUGAUCAGGUUGAGAGAUGGCAUAAAACUCCCCCAAAGUGCAAAAGGAACAACAACCCAUUCACAGAUGCUGUUCUUCUCCCACAGGCCUGGAAGUAACUCCUUUUUGGAAACUGCACUCUCAGUUCCUUUUCUAACACCUGCCCCAUCAGCCAUGGAGAGGCACCGUGGAGAAUGCUUUCUAACUCUCCCUUGUUCCUUUACAUCUAUGCAUGGGGUAUAG